GGAACAGGCAGAAUAAGCUCAGCUGGUAACAAUAUACUUAUAAGAGAUGUACAUAUCAGGUGGUAUAGAAAUAUGAUAAAUAAAUAAAUAUAAGGAGAGCUGUUCUGGCCUUUACUCUCCCAAGCUUCUUGCUUGCUUCAAAUUCCUCCAUCUUUUGCAGUAUGUGAAAGAAACUGGUCUAUAUUUGGAAAUAUACCAGAUCAAUAAAUGAAUGAAAAUGUGAAAAGUGUGUUGUGCCUCCAUGGACUCUGCUGUAAUAGAAGGGUAUCUCUUACCAGAGAGAAUUCCCAACAGGGACAAGUAAACAAGCUGUUUUGAACCAAGUAUAAGCCAUGCAUGUUAAGGGGAGAUAAGGAACCCAAGAGAACAUAUGGAUGGUCCACAUAUUAGAAGAGCGCGCAGCAGACUUGAAGAUGGCAUGGCAUGUGAUCAGUUAUUAAACGUGUUUGGGACACUCGGACUGGAAGUGGGGGAAGAAGUAGCACAUUUGUUUUAGCCCUGCCUUCUACUGGGAAGAAUUAACCUUUGCUCUGAUGUCCUUCUGACCAAGAGCAACAUUCUCUCUCUUAGACAUCACAGAAGAAAGAAGCCAGACAAAAAGGUAUGAUACAGCCCUCUGCCUGCUCUCUCCAGAUUCUUGUUACAAACCUUUAUCAUGCCCACCCUAAGCACCUUUUCCUCAGCUUUUCUGGAUCUUUUCUAUGUUCCUGUUCCAUGUGAGCCCACAAUUAUCUUAUAACACAUGUUUCUUAUUAGUUCCAAAGUGACUUGCUGUCCAUUAUUCUGCCCCUAGGAUUCCUUGUAUCAUGGCCAGUUCAUCUUCCUUUGAAAGCACUGAGAUUUUCUCGAAUGUCCACCCCCAUUUCCAGUCUGGAAUGCAAGAACUUGUGAACUUUGUUCAGAGCUUGCUGGAAACCAGAACAGACUCUAACAUGUCAAAGAAUACGCGGGCUCAUAUUGUGAGAGCAUUGCAAGACAUGAAUACUGCCUUGCAGCUGCUAGAUGGAGAGCUGAAGGCUGCUGAUGCCAAAUCUGUGGAGCUAAGUGCAAGAGUGAACACUUUGGAGGGUGAGAGAAGAGCACAGACACAGCAUCUCCCUCAAGUGCAGAUCCAACUGGAUUCAUAUAGAAACUCUGAAGAGCAGUGCAUAAAGAUGUUGGAAAUUAUUCAAAUAAAUCAUAAAGAAAUGGA